CUACGGGGCGCUGCAGUGGGGAAUAUUGCACAAUGGGGGAAACCCUGAUGCAGCAACGCCGCGUGGAGGAUGACGCAUUUCGGUGUGUAAACUCCUUUUAUAUAGGAAGAUAAUGACGGUACUAUAUGAAUAAGCACCGGCUAACUCCGUGCCAGCAGCCGCGGUAAUACGGAGGGGGCAAGCGUUACUCGGAAUCACUGGGCGUAAAGCGCGCGCAGGCGGCCUUUUAAGUUGGAUGUGAAAGCCUAUGGCUUAACCAUAGAACUGCAUCCAAAACUAUCAGGCGAGAGUCUGGGAGGGGAAGCUGGAAUUAGUUGUGUAGGGGUAAAAUCCGUAGAGAUAACUAGGAAUACCAAAAGCGAAGGCGAUCUUCUGGAACAGUACUGACGCGGAGGCGCGAAAGCGUGGGGCGCAAACAGGAUUAGAUACCCGUGUAGUC
rnacentral:rRNA from 1 species